AACGAACGCUGGCGGCAGGCUUAACACAUGCAAGUCGAACGGGCACCUUCGGGUGUCAGUGGCAGACGGGUGAGUAACGCGUGGGAACGUACCCUUCGGUUCGGAAUAACCCAGGGAAACUUGGGCUAACACCGGAUACGUCCGCAAGGAGAAAGAUUUAUCGCCGAAGGAUCGGCCCGCGUCGGAUUAGCUAGUUGGUGGGGUAAUGGCCCACCGAGGCGACGAUCCGUAGCUGGUCUGAGAGGAUGANCAGCCACACUGGGACUGAGACACGGCCCAGACUCCUACGGGAGGCAGCAGUGGGGAAUAUUGGACAAUGGGCGAAAGCCUGAUCCAGCCAUGCCGCGUGAGUGAAGAAGGCCUUAGGGUUGUAAAGCUCUUUCAGCGGGGAAGAUAAUGACGGUACCCGCAGAAGAAGUCCCGGCUAACUUCGUGCCAGCCGCCGCCGU
rnacentral:rRNA from 1 species